UCUUCGAAAUUAUUUUAUUUCAGACUUGGGAUAAAUCGUUCAUCCUUCUAAUUAUUCCGGAAAUUAAUGAAAUAAUUUCCCACAAUUAAAUUAUCGUCCCAAGGAUUUAUUAAAAGGCCCAAACCUUAAUUAUUUCCCCACUUUAAACUCCUAAGCCCUAAAGCAAUAUAGAUGGAGCCCAAAGCUUAUAUUUUAUCCCACUUAAUAUUCUGGCCCAACAAAAAAAACUGGCCCAAAUCCAACACAAAACAACAAUUUCCCUUACUCCCUCCAUCUCGGUCAACUCCCUCUCUCUCUCUCAAAAUUCUAAUUCCUUUCUUCUUUUCUUCGUUUCCCCCAAUUCGCUCCACGCCUCGCCGACGGUCGCUGCUGUGCAGUCGCCGUCGUUCGGCGCCGGGAGAUGCUGCUGCUCCGUCGGUGGUCGUCACUCACUGCAGUCGCCGCUGCACUCGCCUCUGUCCAGCUGCUACUGUUCGGCCCGUCGCUGCCACCGACAUAGCAGCUGCUCGUUGGGCAACUCAGUAGCUUCAGUUGCUACGCCGUCGUCGAGUCACAGAAAUUCUUCGUCAUCAGUCGUUGGAUCGCGGUCGAGAGUAACCCGCUGCGCAGCCCCCUACUGUCGUCACUUGGCGCCGCAGCAGCUGCUGCGUCGCCGCUCGGCAGCCCCAAAUUUUCCACGAAGUUAAGUUCUUUUCAAGAUUCGAAGCUUAAAUUCGAGUUGUAAAUUAUGGUUUUGAUUUUCGGCAGUUUGGGUUGGUGUCGUGAAUUGCAUAUUGUGCUACAUAUGCAAAUGAUAGGAGUUGAACGAAGGAUGGGAUGGAGUUUACCUUUGGUUGUUAAACGGUGAAAUCGAUGGAAUUGAAUGAGACGGGUGGAGAACUUCCUUCCUUACUGUCACAAAAACUCCUUGAGUUUGAUAGGUUUGAAUGUAGAAGAUGGAGGGUGGAAGGUCACUUGAAAAUGGAGAGUCUCCAUGGAGUGGAGAAGUUGGCGUAGGGGAAGAGAGAAAAGGGUUUUGGGCUUGUACAAAAUUUUCUAAGAAUAAAUUGGGCCAACAUAUUAUUUGUGGAGUUUGGCUCAAGUUGGGAAAAUAUAAGAGAAAAUUUGGAUGGCCCAACACUCUUAAACAUUAAUAAGAACAUUUGGACUUUGAUUUA